rnacentral:misc_RNA from 1 species
UCAAAAAGGAAGUCAUCAAGAAGGUACUUGCUCAGUGUCAUAGUCCUAGGGAAUUGACAUGACAUUAGGACUUGGGUGAUUUCCCUCCAGGCCUAGAGAUUUACACCAAUAAUCCACCCUGGGCCAUUACGGACAUCUCUUAUGACACAAUGUGGCCCUCGUGGCCAACUACUAUUAUCUAACCUUUAAAAUAGAAUCAAUAGAAAAAACAUACAAGCUUGGCUUCAGCUUCAAUUGAGCCUUAGCAGGGUGCCCAGCCUUUACUUUUCCCCAUGCUUGAUGACUCUACCAGCCUAUAGUGAAGCCCAAUGCCCUAGUCAGUGUUAAUGAGGUGUUUUGUUCUCUUGCAGCUCUUAUGCUUGCCCACAUCUGUGUAAAUAUAUUGGCGAGAUUUUGUUUUAGUUCUUCAUGAUUAAAUGACAGCUUCUUUUCCAUAUAAUUUGGCAUCACCUAAUUUGUUGAGUUUGUUGGCCAUCUUCCUACAACCGUGUGUGUGUGUGUGUGUGUG